CCUACGGGAGGCAGCAGUAGGGAAUAUUGCUCAAUGGGGGAAACCCUGAAGCAGCAACGCCGCGUGGAGGAUGAAGGUCCUCGGCUUGUAAACUCCUUUUGGUAGAGAAGAUAAUGACGGUAUCUAAAGAAUAAGCACCGGCUAACUCCGUGCCAGCAGCCGCGGUAAUACGGAGGGUGCAAGCGUUACUCGGAAUCACUGGGCGUAAAGAGCGCGUAGGCGGGGUAGCAAGUCAGAUGUGAAAUCCUAUGGCUUAACCAUAGAACUGCAUUUGAAACUGUUUGGCUAGAGUAUGGGAGGGGUAGGUGGAAUUCUUGGUGUAGGGGUAAAAUCCGUAGAGAUCAAGAGGAAUACUGAUUGCGAAGGCGACCUGCUGGAACGUAACUGACGUUGAUGCGCGAAAGCGUGGGGAGCAAACAGGAUUAGAUACCCGAGUAGUC
rnacentral:rRNA from 1 species